UAGUCUAAAGCAGCAGUGUUGCGAAUUUAGAUCUUUUAGUUAAAGCUUGAACUCGCGAUUUAUUUUAAGAAUAUCGAGAUUUCAAGAAUCCAAGAUUUUUUUAAAGUAAAAACAAAAAAAUGAUCUUUACAAAUUCAAUCGAUCUGAGUAAAAUGACCCUUGGAUUGUAAAUGUCCUAUAAUCAUUAGGGUCAAGUUAGCGCUUUUUUUUUUGUCAGAGAAAACAACACUGGACAAAAGAAAGAAUAGCAAAUGUCGGGGUGAAGACAAGACAUCAUUGCUUGAUUUUCUUGUUUCGUUUUCUCGUUUAUAGACAUUUUUAUGGCAAAUAUUUACAUGUGGUGUUAUGAGCGUAUAAACCCUUUUCAAUAUGAUGUUAACAAUACACGGGCUGCCAUCGGUGGCCACCUACCACGAUGUAAGGACGCUACUACAAAUGGAAUGCAAGAUAAACGAUUUCAUUUUGGACAGUAUGGUAAAUGAUAAGGGAGGCACAAAGAAGGUCAGGAUUGGACUGGCAGAUGAAGUGGAAGGAGCACACGUGAUUAAAUGUCUGGACGGCUUCCGGUGUGGUGGGAAUGCACUUUAUGUAGUGCCCGUUGGGAAAAAUCAACAACCACCAAACGUACAACCAGCUUUCAAUCCCCAUGGGGCCUACCAGGGUCCGGGCCCUAGCUAUGCAGUGCAAGACCAGUUUGCCCCCCCUCAACAAGUGGGCCCGGGGCCAUGGAAUGCAGGAAACCAGUGGGCCCCAAACCAGCCCCAGAUGGGGUAUAACUAUCCACAACAGAAUGUGCCGUUUCAACAGGGCCAGUCCCAGCAGCAAAGACCAUUGAACCAACGGGAGCUGAUGCUCCAGGCAUCGAGGGCUCCAGUACAGGAUUCAUUCCUUGGAGGCUCUGUUCCUCCGGCAUCACGACCAGCGCUUCGUAACAUAGAAACAGUGGACAUACCCAAAGGUGACCAAGGCCGCUAUCAGAACUAUGAACAGCCAAAACCGAUAACAAUUAAGAAGGACAAUUUCAUGGGUCCCGAUGUGGGUACCGGAUCUUAUCCCCAGGGACAUGGUCAACCAUCGCCGUGGCAAGAUCAGGGCCCGCAACGCAAACCGGGUGAUUUCCGCAAGUCUAACCAACCUUACGAAGAUGACAAGAAGUACCAACCAAAACAUGGCAUCUUGAAAAAUCCAAUAAUCGACCGUGAUCGGCAAAACACCCAUUUUUCACUUCAAAGACGGGAUUCCCCUGGCAGGAGACCAUCCCCUGGCAGAAAUAUUUCCCCUGGUCGCAGGAUGCCUGAUCAUAAAAUUCCACCUAACGAUCAUAGGGGUAAGAUGCCUGAUCAUAGAAUGCCUGAUCACGGGCCUAAUGAUCGGAGAAUGCCAAUGAACGACAGAAUGGGCCCAAAUGAUCGUAGAAUGCCGUCAAAGGAUGAUAGAACGGGCCCGAAUGAUCGGAGAAUGCCAAUUAACGACAGAAUAGGGCCAAACGACCGUCGUAUUCCUAUGAAUGACGACAGGAUGGCCUCAAAUGACCGAAGAAUGGCUUCAGGUGAUCGCAGAAUGCCUAUAAAUGAUGAUAGAUUGGGUCCAAAUGAUCGUAGGAUGCCAUUAGACGACAGGAUGGGGCCAAAUGAUCGCAGAAUGCCGGGAAAUGAUGAGAGAAUGGGGCCUAAGGAUUGGAAAAUGUCGUCGAAUGAUAGAUUGGGUCCAAAUAGGACGAUGAAAGAUGAUAGAAUUGGUCCCAUGGAUGUACCGCAUCACGGCAAAGUUUCCCCUGGAAGACGCGUUUCUCCCGUAAGGCGACAUUCCCCUGGGCAUCCCGGAAGGAGAGACGGUCCCAUGGGAAGGGAUAUUUCUCCGACAAGACGCAGGAUUUCUCCAUCAGAUAGACGUUUGCGGUCCCCGCGUCGCAAAUCUCCGAACAGGCGGAUGUCGCCGGAAUCUCACGGCAGGAUGAGGUACUCCCCAAAUCUGCAUUCGGAUAAGCCUGAUCGCCUGAAGCAAGUCCGACCCGCUUACGAACCAGAGACUAAGGCGUCGAACCAACCUAUGUACUCAGGUGGUUUUCGUCCUAAAAUGGACGAACCACAAGUCCCCGUCGUGCCAGGGGCCACAAGGAUAUCGCCCUGGCAGAGCAGAAGCCAGUCAAGGGAGAAAUAUGUCGUGAAGAAUGAAGAGGAGAGAAGGGAUGUGAUUUCUAGGAUGUCGAAUCGUUCCGGGGAACAGAGGUUUUCUCCUCGCGCGUCUCGCUCGCCUCACCGCAGAGACAGGUCUCCAAUCAGGGACCGUUAUAGAAGGAAUACGCCAUCGACGUCACCAAGGCGAUCUUGGGCGCUCGAAAAACGCCGCAGUCCAGAACCUGAUGCCCCACCACCGCCGAUAUGGCCCGGACAGUCCAAAGACGAGUAUUCUAGACCGAGCCACCCGGAAGAAGACGCAAAAUCACCUGUCUGGGCGAACACCUUCGUCAAAGUCAAAGAGAGAGUACCAGAUUUCGAACCAGAUCCAGUGAGAGUUCGCAAAGAUUUGAUGCACGAAUCGAGGGACGGAGGGUCAGUCCGGAGGGAACCAUCGCCGCAGCGGUUCAAGCAUGGCGACAGGAGAGACGACAGAUACCACAGGGAACCUAAAUUUGAACGGGAUGACUUCUCACACGACCGUCGUUACCACGAGCCUGAUAUAAAGAAGCUUCCAGACAGAGAAGAGUUCAUAGCAAGAAGCGAACGUGCCCACCAGGAUUAUAAGAAAGAAGAAUCGCCCGACCGUCUUCUGCCAAGGGAGGAAGUGUACCGCAAAAAGCAUGAACAGUUCGAGGACGAGUUUCAAGACAUAUACCAAAGGGCCGUGGACUUCGCGAAGAAAGCGCAGGAGUUGCGGAAACAUGAUCGCAGGAAGGAACACGACGAAAGGCGUGACGAUAGGGAGUUCUUCGACAGACACGAUCAUCGCCACGACCAAAGACCAAGGUCACGUGACUCGGACGAGUACAGAAAACGUGAGCCUAACUGGGACAUCGAUCCUAGAAAGAGGCUGUCUCCCAACAAUUUGGCCAAAAGGGAGAAAGCAGUGGAUGAGAUCUGCAAGCGGAUAUUCCAGAAGUACAUGCACCAAGUCGAGCACGAAGCGAGGAAGAGGGUCGAGGACGCGGUGAAAGAUGAAGUGUUCAAUAAGAUAUACGAGAUGUUCGAGGAUGAUGACACUUCUUACAUCGAGCUGAUCAUCAAGUUCAAUUCUAGAUUCGGCAUUCGAUCGGAAGCGGACAUGUUCCACAAGGCGGCGACGAAGUACUCCGUUCAAUAUAAAGGGAAGAAAAGACCGGCGCCAGAUCCAUCUCAAAUACAUGCGAAGAUACCUCGGCGAACUCCAGAACCUGACUUGAAGCCAGGUACUAAAAAGCCGACCGGAACAAUCAUUUCAGAAUGGACCGCAACCCCCGUCGACUUAGCCAAUCAAAUGGCGAUACAGCAAAUGUACGGUACCGUACCCCAAAUGGUUAUGAAUCCGUUCGUUCCAGUAAUGCCAACGUUCCAGGCGCCAGCGCCUGUCCCGCCGCCGAGCUACCAACAUAACGAUCUGCCGACACCGGAAGACAAAGACGGAUUGCAUUUGUAUUUAUGCAAAGACACUUUCAACUUUUUUUUGAGUAGUGAGGUCAACGACCUCAAAGAGUUUCUCGUGUCCGAAAUUUUUAAUACAACGGCAACGAAUAACUGGGCUCCGUCGUUCGUUUUCAUAGGUCUACAAACGCCGCAACGUUACGAGUUGGUCACUCAGGAUCCUAACGCGAAAAAUUGGUUGUUGAAUCUGGACUUUAGCGGGUUCAAAAACUUCAAUGUUUUAGUUUACACCAGCGAGGAAUUGUGGUACGAGAGAGUGGCUAUUUGGCUGCCGGGACACUCCAAGUGUAGGUACAUAGAACCGUUUGCGAAAUUACAGUUGCAGAAUAGGAAAUUGUUGGGUGUCGAUAUAGGUAAGUGGAAGUUCGUUAGGAGCAUCGUCACGGACAAGGGGACAAGGCUUUAUGUAGAUGUUCCACCUUCCGCAGCCCGCGCCCUCGAAGAUAAGAAGACCUUGAGCUAUGAGUUGCAACAAGUCAGCGCUUUUACUAAAGCUAGCGCAGUCGAUAAAGCCGCUUUCGAUUCGGGUCUAACCGAGCGAUACACUGUAGACGAUACUGCCAUACAGUCAGCUAUUCAAAACUCGCCAAUGCCGACUUUGAAAAACGAAUUGGAUUUCGUCAAAAUCACCGUGAAAGGAUACAAAACUCUAACUGUGACAGACGCUAGGAAGAUCAAGGAUAUGUUGGUUUUUGAGUUGUUCAAGUAUUUGAGGUUAGGUGGUCAAAGCAGUACAGAUUUUAUUAAGUACGGCCUCUGUCUACCGUGUUACUUCGGCGUGGUGCCGGCAAACGAAGAGUCUAAGAAAUGGUUGAUACAGUUGAAUAUGGGUAAUUUAUAUCGUCGCCCGAUAGUUAUAAUAGGCGGUGAGGAACAAAACGUGAAGCGAAUACCAUUAAAAGCGUACAUUUCAGGUUGUUGGCCGCAAAGGACAAUGGCGUACGUGUUCGAGCGUAUAAAGCAGAGUAAUAAGGGUGUGAAAGGUCUACAUUUUAAUUUGUGGAAGCCUACAAGGUUGGAUAUAAGUGAUUCAUAUGUGAAACUGUUGAUUAUGAUUGAUAUGGAGUCGGUGGAGACUUUGGCCUCGUUGAGGUUCAGCUUGGAUUAUUUAGACGAGCAUUGCGACAACGAUGUAAAGACGAUUACGUUUAAAUCUGAUGAGGGUAUAGAUAGGCUGUUGGAAAUGAUUCAGGAGUACAAGGCUGAGCAGAGCGAUAGUUAUGUUGUGGCCAAUAUGGAUAUACAGUCGUCUGAGACGGAUGAUGAUAUAAUUUGCUUGGGAGAGGCGACGGACGAAGAUUGACAUGUUUAAACGUGUUCGUACGAUUGAAAUGAAUUCUCGUUUUUAGAUAGCACUUAACAGGUUUAGUGGUUUUUAGGUUAUGUUAAGUUCUUGUUUAUUUGUAUGUUGAAGUCAGCGUUUGAACAUUGUCACAUCGUGUGUUCGUUAUAGCAAUUUCUUUCUGACAUAAGGUUACAACAAGCGAAUAAAAUUUAUUGUAAAUUUUGCACUGCACGUUGUCGUCCAAUCACGAUUCAUUAGUUGAACUCAGAAUAGUUUUCAUACUAUGAAGAAGGUUACUAUUUUCUUUAUAUCUUUCAGAAUAGGUUCAAUUAUUUGUGAGUUAAUUAAUUUAAUUCAGGUUUCUUCUUCUUGCCUUCUUCGUCCUUUAGUCCCAGUUGCAUUCUCACCACUCUGGAGAGGAGCUCGGGGUAUGCCUUUGACCAUAGAUCCUGGAUUGGUUAAGUCAGGUUUUUACACGAAGCGACUACCGUCUGACCUCCUGUGGGAACCUAACCCGUAUUGGAUUGAUCAUGGUUACACAUUUAGUUGCCUUAAAGUGCAUGUUUCCUCACGAUGUUCUCUGUCACCAUAAGAGCAUCGGUUAGUAUUCAAACUAAUGUACGUACAUAACUUCGAAAAUAGUCAUUGGGCGGGGUGAGAUUCGAACCUGUGCCUUUUUGCGCCACACGCAUUUUUAACCGCACCUUACCGAUUCCACCGCCAAUGCUCCUCAACGACCACAGAUUUUUAUCUUGUGUUUCUAAAAUAUUAGAAUAAACAUCAUUAAACUUCUUCAUGUGGAAAACUGGUUUGUCUGGGUUCAAUCUUGUGAAUACCAUUAUGUAAAAGUACAUACAUACAUACAUAAACUCACGCCUCUUUCCCGGAGGGGUAGGCAGAGACUACCUCUUUCCACUUGCCACGAAAAAAGUAAAUAUGUAAAAGUAAGGUGUUCAAAUUGUAAUUAAUAAAAUACCUACUGAGAAAUAAGUGUUGUUAUUUUUUUAUUGUAAUUGGAGGUUGAGGAAUUCUUCAAACUAUAGCUGCUGCUUUUUAAAAACGUACUGUUUCAAAUGACGAUAGUCUUAAAAAAUGCUUUUUUUAACAGCGACAAAAUUACUAUGACAAAUGGUAUUUGACAACUGUCAAAUUGUUCUGCCUUGCUGUAAGCGCGUAGGGAAGUGAUUGCUAGAAGCUAUUAUCGAUUAUGUGAAAAGAACAUUUCGUUGAAGUCAAAUCAAGUCCGCAUUAAAACAUAUUACUUAAUCUUUAUAAAAAAAGCAUUGAAGUUCGAAAGAAGUAGACCAUUAAAUGAACAUUUAGCUCCAAAUAAUUAUGUUACAGCUUGCUGGUACUUUAAAAAAAAUAAACAAUAGUAUUUAUCUACGACAUCAGUCGACUAAUAUUCUUAUUUAUCUAUCUUGCCUAAAUCUUUUUAAAUAUUUGCUUUAUCAUAAAAAACUUGUAAUUAAAACUCCAAAACAUAACAACACAUUUUUGUUUAAGCGAAAAAGAUAGACUUCAAAUUUAUUAUUUGAAAAGCUGUAAGUAGUGUCGUAUGUUUUUAUCAAAGGUAAGUUUAUAUUUCUUAUAUUUGUACGAGUAUUAAUAACUUACAUAUAAAAUUUUCAUAAGUGUUAUAAUUACCAGUUUGAAAUUUUGUUUUCAGGGUUCUAAUGAGUUUCAGAUCUUAGCAAAAAACCCUGGAUCAAAUCUAGCAGUUUAUAACGUUUACGUCUAUGUGCUUACGGAGAAGACAGAGCCUCGCCUAUUUUCGUCACUGAAUACUGCAUUUCAGUGCGCGUUGGUAGCUCGAAGUAAAAUCCAAAAGACAAAGUCACCGCGGCUCUACCUCCGAGAUAUCGCACUGUGGAAUACCAAAACAAGACCACUGUGCGCCGGGUUCCUACAGGGGACCCUCAUAUAAGGUCAAGAGAGGUCAACGGGCCGUCUCCACCAG